rnacentral:rRNA from 1 species
CCUACGGGAUGCUGCAGUGAGGAAUAUUGGUCAAUGGACGCAAGUCUGAACCAGCCAUGCCGCGUGCAGGAAGACGGCUCUAUGAGUUGUAAACUGCUUUUGUACGAGGGUAAACGCAGAUACGUGUAUCUGUCUGAAAGUAUCGUACGAAUAAGGAUCGGCUAACUCCGUUCCAGCGGCCGCGGUAAUACGGAGGAUUCAAGCGUUAUCCGGAUUUAUUGGGUUUAACGGGUGCGUAGGCGGUCGGAUAAGUUAGAGGUGAAAUCCCGAGGCUCAACUUCGGAAUUGCCUCUGAUACUGUUCGGCUAGAGAGUAGUUGCGGUAGGCGGAAUGUAUGGUGUAGCGGGGAAAUGCUUAGAGAUCAUACAGAACACCGAUUGCGAAGGCAGCUUACCAAGCUACUUCUGACGUUGAGGCACGAAAGCGUGGGGAGCAAACAGGAUUAGAUACCCGAGUAGUC